AUUAAACUAAUGGUAGACCAGUUUCAAAAUAAAAGCUAAUGAGGAGUUGUUUUCAUUCAAACUUGUCUUUAAGCUGGUUUUUGAUGCUUGCUUAGGUUUCUCUUGUUUCCAACUCAACUGACUUAAUAAACCAUAUCAUCAAACUGAAAUUGAGCAGUUUACAAAUUAUUGGAGCAUCUGGAGCCCUCAUUGUUGGUGAUACUUUCUGCAGCC
rnacentral:lncRNA from 1 species